CCAGACUCCUACGGGAGGCAGCAGUAGGGAAUCUUCGGCAAUGGACGAAAGUCUGACCGAGCAACGCCGCGUGAGUGAAGAAGGUUUUCGGAUCGUAAGACUCUGUUGGUAGAGAAGAACGUUGGUGAGAGUGGAAAGCUCAUCAAGUGACGGUAACUACCCAGAAAGGGACGGCUAACUACGUGCCAGCAGCCGCGGUAAUACGUAGGUCCCGAGCGUUGUCCGGAUUUAUUGGGCGUAAAGCGAGCGCAGGUGGUUUAUUAAGUCUGGUGUAAAAGGCAGUGGCUCAACCAUUGUAUGCAUUGAAAACUGGUAGACUUGAGUGCAGGAGAGGAGAGUGGAAUUCCAUGUGUAGCGGUGAAGUGCGUAGAUAUAUGGAGGAACACCGGUGGCGAAAGCGGCUCUCUGGCCUGUAACUGACACUGAGGCUCGAAAGCGUGGGGAGCAAACAGGAUUAGAUACCCUGGUGGUCCACGCCGUAAACGAUGAGUGCUAGAUGUAGGGAGCUAUAAGUUCUCUGUAUCGCAGCUAACGCAAUAAGCACUCCGCCUGGGGAGUACGACCGCAAGGUUGAAACUCAAAGGAAUUGACGGGGGCCCGCACAAG
rnacentral:rRNA from 1 species